rnacentral:rRNA from 1 species
AACGAACGCUGGCGGCAUGCCUAACACAUGCAAGUCGAACGAGCACUUCGGGUCUUGUCGCGUCCGGGUUCGUAAGGCGUGGGAACAUUAACUUAGGUUUGGACUAACUCAGAGACAUUUGAAAUAAUACCGGAUGAUGUCUUCGGCCCAAAGAUUUAUCGAGCUUCGAUGGGCGAGCGUUGAAUUAGGUUGUUGGUGGGGUAAAGGCUUAACAAGGCGCGCAUUCAUAGCUGGUCUGAGAGGCAGAUUAGCAACACGUGGACUAGGACACGGCCCAGACUCCUACGCGAGGCAGGAAUGGGUGAUGGUGGACAGUGGGCGAAGUCCUGAUCCAGCAAUGCCGCGUGAGUGAUGAAGUCCUGAGGGUAGUAAAGCUCUUGUACCCGAGAUGAUAAUGACGGUAUCGGGAGAAUAAGCUCCGGCUAACUCCGUG